rnacentral:rRNA from 1 species
AUACGGAGGGGACUAGCGUUGUUCGGAAUUACUGGGCGUAAAGAGUUCGUAGGCGGACUGAUAAGUAAGAGGUGAAAUCCCAGGGCUCAACCCUGGAACUGCCUUUAAACUGUCAGUCUAGAGACCGGAAGAGGUUAGGGGAAUACCUAGUGUAGAGGUGAAAUUCGUAGAUAUUAGGUGGAACACCAGUGGCGAAGGCGCCUAACUGGUCCGGUACUGACGCUGAGGAACGAAAGCGUGGGGAGCAAACAGGAUUAGAUACCCUAGUAGUCC